UACGUAGGUGGCGAGCGUUGUCCGGAAUUAUUGGGCGUAAAGCGCGUGUAGGCGGCUUUGCAAGUCGGGUGUGAAAGCCCUCAGCUCAACUGAGGAAGUGCGCCCGAAACUGCAGAGCUUGAGUACCGGAGAGGAUGGCGGAAUUCCCCAAGUAGAGGUGAAAUUCGUAGAUAUGGGGAGGAACACCGGUGGCGAAGGCGGCCAUCUGGACGGAUACUGACGCUGAGACGCGAAAGCGUGGGGAGCAAACAGG
rnacentral:rRNA from 1 species